rnacentral:rRNA from 1 species
CAGUAGCCACGGGAAUACGUAGGGGGCAGGCGUUAUCCGGAAUUACUGGGUGUAAAGGGAGCGUAGACGGUUAAACAAGUCUGAAGUGAAAUGCCGGGGCUCAACCCCGGAGCUGCUUUGGGAACUGUAGAACUGGAGUGUCGGAGGGGUAAGCGGAAUUCCCAGUGUAGCGGUGAAAUGCGUAGAUAUUGGGAGGAACACCGGCGGCGAAGGCGGCUUACUGGACGACAACUGACGUUGAGGCUCGAAGGCGUGGGUAGCAAACAGGAUUAGAUACCCCCGUAGUCCCUGUCUCUUAUAC